GAAUUAGUAGUUAUGGCAACCACGUUUCUGUUUUCAUUUUGUGGUUUCAGAAACUGAUGUAACAAGAAUCAGGAACUCUGCAUAUUUUAGGAAAGGUUGACUACCCCCAGCAACACUAAGGCAUGGCCUUUUCUGUAAUGAAUUUUAUGUAUUUACAUAUAAGACUUUAUAUGAGAUUCAGUCUUCAUCUUUAACCUUGGUUUUAGUGCUACUGUCAGCUGGCUCCUUGACUAGUAUAGUAUACCUUAUCAAGAGGCUGUAUCGUUGAUUAAGAAAUUAUUAUAUUUAGUUAUGCAUGUGUUUGUCUUUUCAAGUUAUUUAAGUAUCCAGUAUUUUUUGGUCUUUGAUUAGUGGCUAUUUUCAUCAACUGCCAGCCAUCACUGGUGCAAGCUAUAUUUAACGGAGAUCCUGAUGAAGUUCGAGCACUAAUAUUUAAGAAAGAAGAUGUUAACUUUCAGCAGUACUUCUGGAAUAGAAAUUCUAAACAUUAGCCUGCCGAACAACUGGAUUGCAUUUGAUGAUUACAAUUGUCCAGUCACAGAUGGCAUCACCUCUACUUUUUAUUAUUAAUAUUAGUUUUAAUUGCCAAAUCAUAAUUGUAUAUAUUUGUAGAGUACAAUGUAAUAUUUUGGUAUAUGUAUACAAUGUGGGAUGAUUAAAUCAAGCUAAUAUAUCCA
rnacentral:lncRNA from 10 species